rnacentral:lncRNA from 1 species
GCAUAUGCAGCAUCUGCCCGGGCCUGAAGCUGAGCUGGGUGUGCAGCUGCAGCCACGGGCACUGACAGCAUGGAGGUGGCCCUGGCUGUUGGCUACUGAGCGUGGAUGGUCAUCAGAAACGAGAGGAGUGGCCAAAGGAAACAGGAUGCGAUCAUCAUGGCACCUGAACUACUGAUUCUUUUGGGGGCGGCGGGAAUACUGCAAGCAGACUUACUUCCUGAUAAAAAAUUUUUACUUCUACCACCAGUCAAUUUCACCAUUAAAGCUGUCAAUUUAGCUCAAGUUCUUUUACGUUGGGAACCAAAUCCUGAUCAAGAACAAAGCAAUGUCCAGCUAGGAUAUCAUGUGAAAAUAAAUGCUCCACAAGAAGAGGAGUAUGAAACCAGGAACACUGAGAGAAGCCUCGUAACCAUCCUUCACAAAGGCUUUUCAGCAAGUGUGCAGACAGUGCCGUGGAGCGACCACUCCCUACAAGCCAGCAGCUGGGUUUCUGCAGAACUUAAGGCCCCACCAGGGUCUCCUGGAACUGAGAUUGUGAAUUUAACUUGCACCACAAACACGAAGGCAGAUAAUUACACACACUUCCAACCAUACCAAGUUUCUCUUCACUGCACCUGGCUUGUUGGCAAGGAUGCCCCUGAUGAUACACAGUAUUUCCUCUACUAUAGGUAUCGCUCUCGGAUUGAAGAAUGUCAGGAAUACAGCAAAGAUGUCCUGCAGAGAAAUGUUGCCUGUUGGUUUCCCAGGACUUUCAUCAACAGCAAGGGGCGAGACUCCCUUGCAGUGUAUGUUAACGGCUCGAGCAAGGAAGCUGCGAUCAAGCCUUUCGAUCAGCUCUUUGCCCUUCAUGCUAUUGAUCGAGUAAAUCCUCCAGCGAACGUCACGGCAGAGCUCAAAGGAACCUGUCUCUCUAUCCACUGGGAAAAACCAGUUUCUGCUUUUCCAAGCCACUGCUUUGAUUAUGAGGUGAAAAUUUACAAUGCAAAGAAAGGAUAUUUUCAGACAGAAAAAAUGACAACCAAUACACUCAUCACCAUCAUUGAUGAUGUUUCUAAGUAUUACAUUCAAGUGAGAGCAGCGGUGAGCUCUGUGUGCAGAGCGACGGGGCUCUGGAGUGAGUGGAGUCAACCUAUUUACGUGGGGAAGGAUGAUCAGAAGCCCUGGACAGAGUGGUUCCUUAUUGCAGUUAUGAUGACCAUCUGCUUCAUCUUGUUAAUUUUCUCACUCAUCUGCAGAAUAUGCCACUUAUGGACCAAGUUGUUUCCACCUGUUCCAGUGCCAAAAAGUAAUAUUAACGAUUUCUUUGUAAUCAUCAACAAUGAGAAAACUGGUUCCAGUGAAACUGAAGUCAUAAGUUAUGUGGAGGAGGCUGGAUUUGAGACCCUGGAAGACUCUGUGUUUUGA